GGCCAGGCUAGUCUCAAACUCCUGGCCUCAAGUGAUUGGCCCGCUCUGGCCUCCCAAAGUGCUGGGAUUACAGGUGUGAACCACUGCGCCCGGACUCUUUAAUACUUUUUUUCAAAAUAGAUAAGGAGUUUUGCUGUGUUGCCCAGGCUGGUCUUGAACUCCUGGGCUCAAGCAGUUCUCCUGUCUCAACCACCCAAAGUGCUAGGAUUACAAGUGUGAACCACUGUGCCCAGGCAGAAUCUUUUUAAAAAACACUUCCCACUGUGUUCCUUAAUGGAGAACCUGCUACUGUUUUCAGAGUUUCUCAACCUUGGCACUAUUGACACUUAAGGCUACUGGAAACUGUCAAUGUGGGACUGUCCUGUACAUCUUAGGAUGUUUAGAAGCAUCACUGGCUUCUAACCACUAGAUGUCAGCAACACCUCCCCACCCAUACCUCCUGUUGCCUCAAGGAAAAAUGUCUGCAGUCGUUGCAAUAUGCCCUGGGAGGCAAACUCACCCAGCUGAGAACCACUGUGCAGAGCAGCCAGGCAGAUGUGCGCAAGUCACAUCACUCUCCUACCUCUUGCUAGACUUCCCAGUCGCCCUCAGGAGGAAUUCCGACACCCAGGGGGAGACAUUCACGUUCUGGGCCCUGCCAACCUCUCUGGUCCCUCUCUUCUGCCUCACACUCUUCGCUCUGCAGAACUGCUUGUAGUUUCCCACAUAGCCAUGCUAUUUGUGUCCCCACCCUUAUGCUGUUCCCUCUGCUUGGAAUGUCCUCCCCUCAGUUGUUUGUCUCGUAAAUCCUAUCCAGCCUUCCAGACAGCUUAGUGUAGACAUCCUCUGGAAACGUAUCCCUAAGCUCUUUCCUUUCCCCUCAACCCAAGGCUGGGUUGCCCCACUUCUGCGCUCCCACAGCACCUUCUGCAAACUUCUGUCACAGCACUUAUCCUUCACAUAGUUGUCUGUCACUCCCACUGACUGAGUUCCUGCAGAGCAAUUCUGUGUCACAUUCAUUUAUUUUAGGUCAUUUUAUUUUUUGGUAGAGAUGGGGGUUUCGCUCACGGCAACCUCCACCUCCCGGUUUCAAACCAUUCUCCUGUCUCACACCACCACUGCGCCCGGCCUGGAAUUAUCUUCUUACACCCCUCUCAGCUCAAACCUAACCAACUGGAAUUUUAAACAUUGUAGGAUCCACUCAGAAAAGGAACUAGAAAAAAAAUACUUUUUCUGUAUUCCCCUGGUCAUCUCUGAAGAAACUAUGUUUGUAAAAUUUA
rnacentral:lncRNA from 1 species